rnacentral:rRNA from 1 species
UACGAGGGGGGCAAGCGUUGUUCGGAAUUAUUGGGCGUAAAGGGUGCGUAGGCGGUCUGGUAAGUCUUGUGUGAAAUCUUCGGGCUCAACUCGAAGUCUGCACGAGAAACUGCCGGGCUUGAGUAUGGGAGAGGUGAGUGGAAUUCCCGGUGUAGCGGUGAAGUGCGCAGAUAUCAGGAGGAACACCGGUGGCGAAGGCGGGUCUCUGGGUAGUAACUGACGCUGAGGAACGAAAGCGUGGGUAGCGAACAGG